rnacentral:lncRNA from 1 species
UUUUUUUUUUUUUUUAAAUCUUUUCACCUUGUUUACUUAAUCUUGCCCAGUCACAAAAUAAGGUGUCUUCUACCCAUGAUUUGAGGAGUAGUCCUAUCAGCUGUACAGUAAGGCAUGUCUUUUCCUUAUCCAGCACAACUACAGAAGCUUGAGAAAUGAGCCCGUCAUAAUUGCUUUACAUUGAGGUUCUUAGCAUGAAAGUACCAUUCAGUCCUUUGUUUACCUACUUUAUUAGGAAAUGUUAAUUCCUUAAAGUUGCAGAAUAAUUAAUGUGAACAUUUGGUGCUGAUUCUUAAAGAUCUAUAUAAAUACAGCCAUUACAAGAGGAAUACAUUUUUCUCCCAUGUUCGUUAUCUGAGAGAAUAGCAUUUUAUAUCAUCUUUCUUUUAAGAAAAAUAGUGUUAAAUUGCUGGUAGUUGUGGUAUUCCUUAGUCCCUGGUCUUUAGAUAGACAAGGAAAUAAUGGGUCAGAAAGUGAUUUUUUUCUUUGUUUCAGGCAAAUUAUGAAGAAUAGUUCCUUUUCUCGCUCAAUGGCAACACGUUAGCUUGGUUUUGGCUAUUUAUGUGUAGUGUUUUCUACUGCAAUGGACCCAUAUUGUAGCUAUUACAGUUGGAAUAUAAAACUGGCUUCCUUUUGGGUAGGUGGGCAAUUACUUAGACCUGAUAGAAUAAUUUUCUUUACUGUAUAUAUUAGGCUAUAUUGGAUUUUGUUUUCUUGAGUUGUAAAUAGCAUUAGCUAGGUUAUUUCCCAUUUUUCAUUAUGAGAAAACAUGUAGAAUAAGCUGUUAAAAUUCACAGUGGAAUCAAGUGGCACCACUUGUUAUUCCAGCAUUGAGGCCACAUGAUGGUAAGCUUACAAGUUGAGACCACCCUGGGCAAUAGAGAGGGAUCCUGUCUCAGAAACAGGGUCCCUGGGAACUUAAUGGGAUCAGAAACUGGUCUUACAAGAAGGAAGCUGUUCUGCAUAUUUUUUUUUAAAUAAUAGCUUAGUUUUCAUAUCUAGAGAACACAGCAUAAUUUUUGUGAGUUAAAGUGUUCAUAAAUGAUUGGAGAGUUACAAGAAAGAUGGCUCUGGCUAUGUAACACACAGCCGUGGUCCUCUACUAUUUGUAUGAAAUGCUCUGUCACCAUCCUACAAUGUUGCUAACAAAGGGAUCCCCUUCCAGCGUGGUGCCACUUGCUUCUCUCUGCAGAGAGGCAGAAGUAACAUGUUCCAACAAAAGACCUGUGACUAAAGAGGGUUGUGAGGGUAGUUUUCCUUUGGCACUGUAGUUCCGUUUUUCUGUGAGUCUGCAUCUGCAUCACUACAAUCUUCUAAUUGUAGUGAGUUAGAGAUUAAGGAACUAGGGAGACAGAAAGCCCUGAUCCCAAAGGAUCCUUUUAUUUGGUUCACAAUAUUUUUGGCUUUUUUUACUAAAUUUUGCAGAAAUUGCUCUAUCCUGACCUAAUUUUCUUUAUUGCAGACCAUUCCUAUGGGCUUAACCUGAGAAUUGUAUUCUAACUAAAGAGUGUUGGAAGGAAUACUUCCUUCUGACCUAUGUAUUUUCCCCAUUCUUUAAUAUUCUUGAGUACUUGAAAACACCUUAAGAGAAAUUUUGUUCAUGAUCAAAUGUAGGUUUAUUAGAAAUAUCCUAUACACUUGCCUUGAUGGUGGUGUAAGUUCUGAGAAAUUGCAUGAUUGUGUUAAUAGUUUAUCAUGGUUAAAAAUACAGAGAGACAAACCUGUUGCCAAAAUGAGUUAACCUAUACUGAUGACAACUGUGUGAUUUCUUUAGCCGAGAAAGUUGUUUUUAAAAAUAAACUACCGCUUUUCUAAAGCACUGCAUUUUCAAAAUAAGCUUUUGUUUGUUGUUCCCCUCUUCUGACUUUGAGUGGACAAGCCUACAAAAACUUGAAUGCCAGGUAUUUGUGAAGACAGUAUAAGUUUAAAGGGUCUUGUGAUGAAAAACUCACAUUAAUAAAAUGUUUGGGGUUUUCACAUUUUUCACGUGCAUGUUUUUGGAAUAGAUUUUAAGGAGUGCUUAUCAUUUUGGAUUUUUUUCUGUUUUUGUUACCAACUUCCUAAGAUUUAGCUAAUACACGAAGACAAAUCCUAGGGAAGUGUAGUGGUAGACUAAUAAGAGGUGGGAAUGUGCUGCUGUUGAAAGGGAGCCUGUUCAAAUGCCUCUGUUUAUUCAGUACCACCUCCUGCAGCUCUAAUGUAAAUGUAUUAUGUGUAUAUGUAUAGUUUUGUAGAUAAAAUGUCCUCGUUCACUUUCGUAUAUAAUUGUGUUUAGAGUAUCAGUGUUUUCAUUCUUUUAACUUCAGGCUCUUGUAUGUUGUAUCUCUGAUUUGAAAUAGCAGAGAAGACAGAUUUGUAGACAUGGCUCAGCUAAAGUACUCUGCAGUGGGACAGAUGCCGUGGAAGGCUGGUGGCGCUGCCUUCUGGAUGACACUGGCACUUUAUAGUUUUCUACGGAAAGAUUAGUCGCAAACAAGGCUUGUAGAAGUCACUUUGUUGUUGUUUUUUUAACUUUUAAUUACUUAAAUAAAACCCAUUGUUUUCAUAGUAAAUUUAGACUGCUUAUGUAAUUUUCUGUAUACUGUUUUCUAAUGGGAACCCUAUAUGGCAAUCCUUCUUUCAGCCGUUUUCUCCUGUGCGAACUAGUUAUGGAAAGAGUGUUGUCUGUUCGUUGUAGCAACAGAGCCACUAAGUUUUAUGCAGUAAAACUCCUACCAGGUAGUUUUAUGAUACGUGAUUCCCUACUAAUUAGGAAAUUUCAUGCCCUUAUUUUCUUUGUUAAGGAGAUCUGUUCUGUUUAUCUCACUGAGAAAAACUUCAAACCCAGAAUAUAACAGUGGCCAUCUCACCUCCAACCUAUAAGUAUCAGCUCCUUAGUAUAUCUGUUUUGUUUGUAAACAUAUCAUGACAUCAUCACACUGAAAGCUCCUGGUUCCUUUUUAAGGUUUUGGUUAUUUUUAGUUGUGAUAAAAUGCUCUUGACAAACUUUACCAUCCUAAGCAUUUUUAACUGUACAGUUUGCUGGUGUUAGGUACGCUCACAUUGUUGUGCAUCCAACCUCUAACUCUUUCAUUGCAAAAUUGAAACACUGUACCCGAGUUCCCCUCUCUCCUCUGCCCUGUCCUGCCCCUGUAGCCACAUGCUACUUUGUUGCUGUUUGACUAAUCUAGAAAGUGAAAUAUAAACAUCAUUUAAUUAAAAUUCUUUACCAUUUGUACAACUUGGUGUGCUCUGUGGUCUCUUUAGUGGUUUGUGCGAUGUAAUUCCACACCAGCGUGGCAUAGCCUGCGACAUGCAGGACACUCAGGAAGAGACUGAUUUUGAAGCUGCAGUGGAUUAGUAUUAAUGAGCAUCCCUCAGAUGCUCUUGUGGUUUAUUUUCUGCCUGUGCAAAGGACUGAGGCUCUUUAGUACCUGCUAAGCUCUGCGCUUGCUUUGAGACUUACUUUGCUACCAAAAAAGGGAAAGAUAAAUUGCUGAUUUUGGUUUUUAAUGCUGUUUCCCCUGUCUUAGAAAACACAGUAUUUUCAAAUC